AGACCCGAAACCCGGUGAUCUAGCCAUGGGCAGGUUGAAGGUUGGGUAACACUAACUGGAGGACCGAACCGACUAAUGUUGAAAAAUUAGCGGAUGACCUGUGGCUGGGGGUGAAAGGCCAAUCAAACCGGGAGAUAGCUGGUUCUCCCCGAAAGCUAUUUAGGUAGCGCCUCGUGAAUUCAUCUCCGGGGGUAGAGCACUGUUUCGGCUAGGGGGCCAUCCCGGCUUACCAACCCGAUGCAAACUGCGAAUACCGGAGAAUGUUAUCACGGGAGACACACGGCGGGUGCUAACGUCCGUCGUGAAGAGGGAAACAACCCAGACCGCCAGCUAAGGUCCCAAAGUCAUGGUUAAGUGGGAAACGAUGUGGGAAGGCCCAGACAGCCAGGAUGUUGGCUUAGAAGCAGCCAUCAUUUAAAGAAAGCGUAAUAGCUCACUGGUCGAGUCGGCCUGCGCGGAAGAUGUAACGGGGCUAAACCAUGCACCGAAGCUGCGGCAGCGACGUUUAUGCGUUGUUGGGUAGGGGAGCGUUCUGUAAGCCUGCGAAGGUGGCCUGUGAGGGUUGCUGGAGGUAUCAGAAGUGCGAAUGCUGACAUAAGUAACGAUAAAGCGGGUGAAAAGCCCGCUCGCCGGAAGACCAAGGGUUCCUGUCCAACGUUAAUCGGGGCAGGGUGAGUCGACCCCUAAGGCGAGGCCGAAAGGCGUAGUC
rnacentral:rRNA from 1 species